GACGAACGCUGGCGGCGUGCUUAACACAUGCCAGUCGAACGGAAAGGCCCUGCUUUUGUGGGGUUCUCGAGUGGCGAACGGGUGAGUAACACGUGAGUAACCUGCCCUUGUCUUUGGGAUAACUUCAGGAAACUGGGGCUAAUACCGGAUAGGAGCUCCUGCUGCAUGGUGGGGGUUGGAAAGUUUCGGCGGUUGGGGAUGGACUCGCGGCUUAUCAGCUUGUUGGUGGGGUAGUGGCUUACCAAGGCUUUGACGGGUAGCCGGCCUGAGAGGGUGACCGGCCACAUUGGGACUGAGAUACGGCCCAGACUCCUACGGGAGGCAGCAGUGGGGAAUAUUGCACAAUGGGCGGAAGCCUGAUGCAGCAACGCCGCGUGCGGGAUGACGGCCUUCGGGUUGUAAACCGCUUUCGCCUGUGACGAAGCGUGAGUGACGGUAAUGGGUAAAGAAGCACCGGCUAACUACGUG
rnacentral:rRNA from 1 species